AUCUCUGCAGGGACGCAUGAGACGUUUCCAGUCCCUACCAGGCUCUGCCGCUUCAUCCCAGUCUUCCACAUGAUAAGUGACAACAAUCAAAAUACAAUAGUCAAGAAUUAAAGAGUAACAAAAAAUCCAGAUACUGUCAGCACCUGAAACCUCAUCUAUUUCUUCAGCCUGCAUUUGUCUUCUCCUAGAAAGAUGUGUAGAGGAACAGAAAAACAGACGUGUUCACUCCAAUGAUCUGGGAGGGAGAGAGACAAUUCUGAAAGAAAAAGCAUUCCCCAGUUGGAAAGAACAGAUUUGUCUUGAGAAAAUGGAAUGUAGAGAGAAACUGCCAAGCUUCUGCUGAAAAACGUAAUGAAAAACACCUGCAAUGUAUUUCCCCAUGGAGCAUAAUUAAGUGAGAAAGAUUGGUGCUUAUUAGAACUUAGACUCCUAGCAAAAUUUAAGGUAUUUUCUUCUUAUAUGGAAGAUUUGCAAGCAUUUUUA